rnacentral:rRNA from 1 species
GACGAACCGUGCGAACGUUGUUCGGAAUCACUGGGCUUAAAGGGCGCGUAGGCGGCCCGCCGCGUCCGGGGUGAAAUCCUCCCGCUCAACGGGAGAACGGCCUCGGAUACGGGCGGGCUGGAGGGGGGUAGGGGCACGCGGAACUGUGGGUGGAGCGGUGAAAUGCGUUGAGAUCCACAGGAACUCCGGUGGCGAAGGCGGCGUGCUGGACCCCAUCUGACGCUGAGGCGCGAAAGCCAGGGGAGCGAACGGGG